rnacentral:rRNA from 1 species
GUUCGAUCCUGGCUCAGAAUGAACGUUGGCGGCGUGGAUUAGGCAUGCAAGUCGAGCGAGAAGUUUUAAAAAGAUGCUUCGGUUGAUUUUUAAAACGGACAGCGGCGAAAGGGAGAGUAACGAGUAGAUACGUACCCAAGGGUUCGGGAUAGCCAUGCGAAAGCGUGAGUAAUACCGAAUAAUGUCUCCGGACCAAAGAUUUAUUGCCCUUGGAGCGGUUUGCUUACUAUUAGCUUGUUGGUGGGGUAAAGGCCUACCAAGGCUUAGAUGGUUAGCGGGUGUGAGAGCAUGACCCGUCUCACUGGGACUGAGACACUGCCCAGACACCUACGGGUGGCUGCAGUCGAGAAUCUUCCGCAAUGGACGAAAGUCUGACGGAGCGACGCCGCGUGCUGGAUGAAGGCCCUCGGGUUGUAAACAGCUGUCGUAGGGGAGGAAAUUUUGACCGAUCCUAGGAGGAAGCACAGGCUAAGUUCGUGCCAGCAGCCGCGGUAAUACGAACUGUGCAAACGUUAUUCGGAAUCACUGGGCUUAAAGGGUGCGUAGGCGGGUUGGUAGGUCAGAUGUGAAAGCCCACGGCUCAACCGUGGAAUUGCGUUUGAAACCACUAGUCUUGAGGGGAUCAGAGGAGAGCGGAACUGAUGGUGGAGCGGUGAAAUGCGUUGAUAUUAUCAGGAACACCGGUGGCGAAAGCGGCUCUCUGGGAUCCUUCUGACGCUGAGGCACGAAAGCUAGGGGAGCGAACGGGAUUAGAUACCCCGGUAGUCCUAGCUGUAAACGAUCUGUACUAGUCCGUGGGGACCCCCACAUCUUCUCGGACGUAGCGAAAGUGUUAAGUACAGCGCCUGGGGAGUAUGGUCGCAAGGCUGAAACUCAAAUGAAUUGACGG